GACGAACGCUGGCGGCGUGCCUAAUACAUGCAAGUAGAACGCUGAAGAGAGGAGCUUGCUCUUCUUGGAUGAGUUGCGAACGGGUGAGUAACGCGUAGGUAACCUGCCUUGUAGCGGGGAUAACUAUUGGAAACGAUAGCUAAUACCGCAUAACAAUGGAUGACACAUGUCAUUUAUUUGAAAGGGGCAAUUGCUCCACUACAAGAUGGACCUGCGUUGUAUUAGCUAGUAGGUGAGGUAACGGCUCACCUAGGCGACGAUACAUAGCCGACCUGAGAGGGUGAUCGGCCACACUGGGACUGAGACACGGCCCAGACUCCUACGGGAGGCAGCAGUAGGGAAUCUUCGGCAAUGGGGGCAACCCUGACCGAGCAACGCCGCGUGAGUGAAGAAGGUUUUCGGAUCGUAAAGCUCUGUUGCAAGUCAAGAACGAGUGUGAGAGUGGAAAGUUCACACUGUGACGGUAGCUUACCAGAAAGGGACGGCUAACUACGUG
rnacentral:rRNA from 1 species